rnacentral:rRNA from 1 species
UAACACAUGCAAGUCGAGUGCGCGCUUGUAGCAAUACAAGUGGCGCACGGCGCACGGGUGCGUAACACGUGGGUAACCUGCCCUUUGGUGGGGAAUAACCUCGCGAAAGCGAGGCUAAUUCCGCAUAAGAUCCGCAAGGAUGAAAGCCGCAAGGCGCCGUAGGAGGGGCCCGCGCACGAUUAGUUAGUUGGUAGGGUAAC